CCUCUGGCUAUAGGAAAUUGUUAGUGGCAGACGGGUGAGUAAUGCGUAGGAAUCUACCUAGUAGUACGGAAUAGCCAUUAGAAAUGGUGGGUAAUACUGUAUAAUCCCCGAGGGGGAAAGAUUUAUCGCUAUUAGAUGAGCCUACGUUAGAUUAGCUAGUUGGUGAGGUAAUGGCUUACCAAGGCUAUGAUCUAUAGCUGGUCUGAGAGGACGAUCAGCCACACUGGAACUGAGAUACGGUCCAGACUCCUACGGGAGGCAGCAGUGGGGAAUAUUGGACAAUGGGCGAAAGCCUGAUCCAGCUAUGCCGCGUGAGUGAAGAAGGCCUUCGGGUUGUAAAACUCUUUCAAUAGGGAAGAUAAUG
rnacentral:rRNA from 1 species